GCGCGCUUUUUUUAAAUGGCAGACGUUAUUUUCUUGUUCAAUCGCGUAUUAGCUUUAUCGAACCACAAAAUGUAGUCGCACCCAAAAUAGAUGUUGCUCACUACCAGGAGGGAGAUCUCAUCAAAGCCACUUACCAAAAACAAACAUACGAUGCGGUGAUCAGUGAAAUCCAUCAUGACGAGGUUUCUCUUGAAGCAAGCAAAGCGACCGCCUAAGCAUGCUUUCAAGGCAACUUAAGAUAGGAAAAAAACUCAAGAGUUCAGUGAUCAAACACCAAUAGAGCCUCGUGAUAAGUUGCCUGUAAAGAGGAGCAUGAACCCAUCAGAUGCCUCCGAAGAUAUUGACCUGACGAACAAUGCUGCAAAGCAAAAUCUCAGUAAGCAAAGUGCUCAAACACCUACAGAGCCUCGUGACAAGUUUCUGUACACAGAAGAGCCUGAUCCCAUCAGAUGCCUCCGAAGAGAUUGAAAAGAACUGUUUACGGACAUUUUCAGAACUGUAUAAGAACUUUGUUCCAGACUUAUUUGAAGCAACCCUUCGAAACUGUUCUAAACAUUUCUAGAAUUGUACUGGAACACACCGGCUAGAACUGUUCUGUAAUCAUACUGAAAAUGUUCUAGAAAUAUUCUGGAACAGUUGCUGAACGUUAAAUGAGAAAAAAAUUCUAGAACAAUUCUAUAACAGUUCUGGAAAUUUAUUCAAGAAAAAUUCUGGAAUAGUUCUAGAACGAUAGUUCAAGAAUUGUUCUAGAACAGUUGUUGAACGUUAAAUGAGAAAAAUAUCUAGAACAAUUCUAUAACAGUUCUGGAAAUUUAUUCAAGAAAUAUUCUGGAAUAGUUCUAGAACGCUUGUUCAAGAAUUGUUCUAGAACAAACCUUCAGAACUGUUUCAGAACAAAUUGUUCUAGAAAUUAUUCUCAUUUAACGUUCAACAACUGUUCUAAAUCGUUCUAGAGCAUUUUAAGGAUGAUUCCAGAACACUUCUAGUCAUUAGUUCCAGUACAAUUCUAGAAAUGUUAUAGAACAGUUCUAACAAUCUUCGCAGGGGCAGGCCCUCUUGUUUUUGUAACCUCUUGCAUCCCUAUUUAAAAUGCAUUACAUGUAUAAAUGCACUAACAAACAAACAAAGGUCAUGCAUGAUUCCUGAUGGGUUACAUCCAUGAGUGCAGGUUGCAAAAGAUAUUUGAAGAUAUUGCAUAAAUUGUCGAAUCUUUGGCGUAGAAACAAAUUGAUUAAUUAUUGGAAAAGAAUAGCAAAAGCGAUUGAGAAAUGUAUUUUUAUGUUGUAUCAUAACUUGACUCAAGACUCAUCUUCCUUCCAAAUCUGACUGUCUUAACCAAAAUUUGCUACACUAAGUUAUUUCCUUAUGCCUGCCUCUCUGUUAUUAAAAUUGGCAGGUAAUCAAAAUAGUUAUUUCUUGAAUGUAUUUUAUAGUAUUGAUCUUAAACACAAUUCUAAAUGUCAAUUAAUUUGUCUGAACAUAAGCCAAUGCCAAUAACUGUACAGUGUUAUAGAUGUGAUUUAUUUACUUUAGUUCUAGAUAAUCGAUUGUGGAUUAACACACACAAUCACUGGUAACUUCUUAUAGUUGCAAUAUCACUUAACUACAAUAUAAACAAGAAAUAUCUUUAAAAAAAGAUAUACGGCGUUGAUUGUGGUUGGAGUUUAUGGAAGAUAAAGAUUUAAAUGAAUGAGAUCAAGGAUAGCUAAUAUCUUUUUCUGUGCAGUUUUUAGCUGCAUCAAACGCAGUACGGGAUGUUACGCGGAGUUUUCGCGGCUUAUUUUACAUUAUUACAUAUUGCUGGUCAUAAACCUAUAGAUACAAAAAAGAAAACCAAAGUCAACCGGCCACACGCGAAGUCUCCGUACAUAUUUUAGGCCACAAUUAAAAUAUUGUUGGUUUGCCCUUUACCGACCCUAAAUUUUACAGAUGGGUAGGUAGGUAGGAAAAUUAUUUUAUUUUAUUUGAGAAAUUAUAUUUUUUAUACACUAAUAGUCUAUAAAUAUUUAAAACACUGUUAUUAAAGCACUGUUGCAGUGUACGAAGCCCUAUGUAGCUUAACAUUAUCUUGUUUGCUGUUUCUUGCAUAUAUUAAUAUCAAAUGCAUGUUUGUGUGUUAUGACAUUAAAUAUUUGUUCAUCAUAUGAUGUUAAUUGCUCAAAUGCAUUUGUAAUUAUUUAACAGCCAGACAGCUUUUAUUUUUAACUUAAACCUUUCCCUUAAAUUGCGCUUAAUUAGCAUGCAACAAGCAUUGAAGGAGUGUAGAAAGACAGCCCUAAGCCUUUAAUGGAAAAAUUCAGACAUGGCGAAAGACCGUCACAUUUUACAGGCCAGACUUGCCUACCAGGAGAAACAAUUCACAGGCCAGUUGAAAUUUGUACAGGCCUCAAUUUUAAGUGUUUGACCGGUUAGUGCAUAGUCUCGGCAUGGCAAAGUAAAUUCAUAAAAGGGCAAACUGAACAUUAUUAUAAAGCAUGAUUUCUUCUUGAAUGCUCUGAGCUUUUAUGAGUACAUACGUACAGCUCAGAGGGUCAAUAGCUGGGAGUUGUAUUAUUGCAACUAACAUAAGCAUGAAAACUUGAUCUGGGGAAAUAAAUUAAGGGUGUUAGAUUCAGUUUUUGGAUAUAUUAACGCUUUAAACAUAUAUACUUGAGUGUUGUCGAUGUAUUUAGCUAAGAGACAUUAAUAUAUUAAAUAAGUUUACCUUUACAUAUCCAUUUCACUAACAUGCCAUUACAGUAAACUGUUUAGUGUGGCAAACAUAAUAAAGCAGAAUAUGCACAUGAAUCUGAUUAAACACAGAUCCACUUGCAUAUAAAUCAAAUCAUGUUUGUCUUUUAUUUUGCAUUUUCGAACGAUAAUCCUGUAACUGUUAAAUGUAUUUUUCCUUGCGAGUAGACUGCAUUCCAAUUUUCAAACACUUGUGCUGUGCAUUCAGUUCAUACAUUUCCAAAAAAAAGAGUUUUAUUUGUAUCUAAAACGUAUGCUCCAUCGUAGAAUGACACGCUCUUUUCAUUAAUCCAUACUAAUUAUAUGAUGUCCGUCGUAAAUUCAAUAGUUAUUUGUCCUCGCUGAGCAUCGUUAUUUCUUUUAAUUGUCCGCCGUCUUGGAUCACGUUAACAGCAUGUGUACAACAAACGUAAACUCGUAUAUGUCCGACUACUUUCGCGUACACCGCCGAUCGCCAUGCUGGUUAUAGACGCUUGCAUUACUGUCUAUAUUGGGGCGUAUGAAAUUCCAACCAUCGGAGCGACCUUGAUCGGUCAGGGGCGAUAAUAAUAGACAGGGAUAUAAAUACGCGCAUGAAUAAAUAUUGCUGUCGGCUCUUAUAUGAUCGUCGAAAAAAAACGAAAAUAAAAAAAAUACGUUUUCAGAAAUCGCAAUAAAAAUUUUUGGGUCGGGGGGUAAAAAGUGGGUCGGUCGGUAAAGGGCAAACAAACUCAAUUUUAAUUUAGGCCUUAAAUAUGUAUACGCGCGUUCUUCGAACAAACUUGUUUGAGUGGUUUAUCGGGAAUUGCUAUGUGUAUUUGAUUCGAUUAUUAACAGUAUCGAGAAUCAUCGCGCUCAUACUUAAUACAUUAGUCAAUAUGCUGCAAUAAUACAUUAGUAAAUAUGAUGGAAUAAUUCUUGUUAAUUAAUUAAAAAUAAUAUUUAUCAUGGUAUUGUUGAAAACACAUUAAGAAUCUAUUAUUGACAUGCCAUAAAAUAAUAUCGCUGGAUAUCUUCAUUUCACAUCUUUCUGGUGGUAAAGAAAAUUCAGGUUCACCUAGUUCACGCUAUAGCGUCUUUAUUAUAUAACUAUUAUAUAACUGACCGCGAACUCCGAACAGCACAGAAGGUCUGACCUGUAUAUAAACUCUGACAUUCAAACACACUAACCGCGAACUGACCCCUUAUACCUCGCGGGUUGAAAUGCAACACAUUAAAGUGAGGCAUCGCUUCCACUGCUCUUUAUACUUUUACAUAUAACAUGUUGACAGGAAUAUGGAAGUCAGUACUAAAUAUGAGAACAUGGCCUUUAAGUACACAACGUUCUCGCGCUGAAAAUCCUCUGAAAAUAAAAGAUGUACGCACAAACUAUAUUGAGGUCGAGAUUGAGUGUAAAACUGUUCUAUCUAUAAAGCCUUUUUAUUAGAGAUAAAACUGUUUCAUGCUGAACACGCAGUAAAACAGUGUUACAAAGACGCGGACAUGUUUCCAAUGUUCUAGUGGUAUUAUCAAAUCAGCCAAUGCAGUCAAUGAAGUGUAUUCAUCUGUACUUGGCCGCGGGAAGUUUUAUUUGAAUUCUAUUGGACGCUAACAAAGGUCAGGCUAAGGUGAAAAGCUGGCGUAUUCAGCUGACGCCGAAAAAAACAAAGAAGGAAUUGGGAUUUUUACAACAAAAUGUUUGUUAAAACAUUUAUAUGAGUCGUGCUCUGUGAAAAGUGGGUUUAAUGCAUGUGCGUAAAGUGUCGUACCAGAUUAGCCUGUGCAGUCCGCACAGGCUUAUCAGGGACGAUACUUUCCGCCUUAACUUGAUUUUUGCUAAGAAGAGACUUUCUUGAAACAAAAAAUAUCAUAAAAGCGGAAAGUGUCGUCCCUUCAGAUGAGCCUGUGCGGACAGCACAUGCACUAAACCCCCUUUACACAGAGCACGGUCUAUAUAGAUGGUGCACACCUAAAUAUCUGUUUCUAAUCUGCCCAUGACCUUAACAUAGUUACUAAAGAAAUAAAUUUACUGGGUGCUGAUUUAUUUAUUUAAUGAAUUAUAACCAUUUGCAUCCAUGUAGUGACUAGAUGAAGCUGAAAUGUGACCCAUAAGAGGCAAGGUGGGAUUACAGACUUGCAUGUCUUAGAUUUAAUUGAUAUUGCAUCUUUAAGUGUUAAAUAACAACAAAAUAAUUGAAUCAUUUUUUUGGUAACUUAAGGGCACUGCAUGUGCUAAAAGUGAUCGAUGAAUCAGCAAUUAUACAAAUCUGAUCAAAUGAAAGAAUUUAACUUAAAAUUUUGCAUCAUACAUGUUGAGUGUUCUUAUAAUUGUUUGAUAAUUCUUCUUUUUUUUGUGUGUAUGAUAACUCAAGAAGAUCUUAUACAAGUUGUUUUUUAAUUAUUUAUUUUAAACAAGUUCAGAAUUUUCUUUAGUUAGCAAAUGUUUAGGGAGCAUACAAACAAGUAACCUGCUCGUAUGUCAUAUAUUAAGAUAUGAAAUUACAACGAGUGUCAGAUCUUUUUAUCACAUGCUUUAAAAUUAGUGAAAAAAUAAUAAUUAGGUAAACAUUGUGGUAAGUCCAGAAAGUUAUUUAGAUUAGAUGAUGUCAGUUUGAGUUGCAACGUCAUUUCAGCAAAAUAAUGUAAUGUGGCUGGUAAGGCAAACAAAAAGUAGCUAUGAAAAUUUUCAAACAAUUGUAUAAAUCAUGGAUAAGAUAAAAAAAUGUGUAAUUGGAUUUACAUAGAAAACAAGAAAUAGUAUGUUCAGAUACAUUUGAUAAGUCAGAUUUUGCUGAUGACAAGCAUUUAUUCUACAUUUUUUGUUCAAAAGAAGUUGAAUAACAUAGAAUAAAUUGUAUUUCAAAAAUAAAAUAUAAAACCACAGGGAAUAGUCAUAUUAUUAGCUAAACAAAAUAAUAAACCUUUCAAAUGUUGGAUUUUAUUGCUCUGUCCUUUCGCCUGAAUCAUAUUUUAUUUCCAUCAUUAUUAGUGCUAAGGGGGUAUAUGUAUUGUUGUUGCUUUUAAUGUAAAUUUAUUACCCCCUUGAAGAAGCAGCAUAUUCACUCAAUCAAACUCAGUCUCUCUGUUCUCUCUAUCAGCCUGUGGGAAGAUUCCUACAUCAGCCAUAAGUUUGCCAUAUAUAUGGAUUGCAAAAUAACUUGCUUCAAAUGUCCACUUUCAUAAGAUGACAUGUCAUGUGCUAACAACACCUGUUUCCCAAUCUCAAAGGUCAAGGUCACACUCAGAUGACCAUUCAAUGUAGUGAUGCGUUCAUUUUUUGGUUGAUAGCUCAAACUGUUCACUUAUAUUUAAUAUUUUCUCACUGCAUUGCCAUUGGUUACAAGAAAAUUGGUCUAGGUCUUUAUUUAUUUUAAUAACUGCUCAAAGUUUCGCAAUAACUAUCAACUAAAAUAGUUUAAGUCUUGUACGUAGAUUUUAUUCUUUACUUAUUGCUGAUCUAAAUUCAAAUGAAACUUUUUUAUGUCCCCCACUAUAGUAGUGGGGGACAUAUUUUUUUUUGCCCUGUCUGUUGGUGACAGGUCUGUCUGUUGGUCUGUCUGUUUGCGCCAACUUUAACAUUUUGCAAUAACUUUUGCUAUAUUGAAGAUAGCAACUUCAUAUUUGGCAUGCACGUUUAUCUCAUGAAGCUGCACAUUUUGAGUGGUGAAAGGUCAAAGUCAAGGUCAUCCUUCAAGGUCAGAGGUCAAAUAUAUGUGGCCAAAAUCCAGGCUUUUUCCGCUCCAUUUUGGGAAAACGCCACACUGGAAUUUUGGGAAUUUCGCGUCGUGAAAACCCCCAUUUUGAGAAAAAAAUUAAUCGCAAAAUUGGCUCAAUUGGGAAAAAUUAUCGCAUGUAAAUAGUGUUUCUUAUAUUUCAAAGAAGCCGUUAACUGGUAAACAACGACUAUUUUGAUAACUUAUUAUUAAAAUUUUACAAAAUAUUAUGAACAUGUGUGAUAAGUGCAGGGUUUUAAAUCUGAAUUUGGGGAAAAGGCCUGGCCUUUUUUGAUGUGAAAAAAAUCGCGCGAAGGGCUGGAUUUUGAGGAAAAUAAGGAAUGUCUUAAAUAAUCAUUAACAUAUUUUACAUUUUUUAAAACAAAUUCAAGGCAACAGAAUAUUUAAUUAUGCAAUACUUUCUAUUUUCUACACCGGAUUAGGUAAACUUAUAUAUUUUAAAGUUAAAAAAAAAAAAAAAAAAAUUUUUUGUUUUUGGAAUUGGAAAUAUUUUUUUCAAUUGGGAAAAAAACAACCAGAUUUGCAUUGGGAAUGGGGCCGAAUUUCGGACCCGUGGCAUAGGGCGGAAAAAGCCUGAAAUCGCUCAUUUUAUGAAUACUUUUGCAAUAUUGAAGAUAGCAACUUGAUAUUUGGCAUGCAUGUGUAUCUCAUGGAGCUGCACAUUUUGAGUGGUGAAAGGUCAAGGUCAAGGUCAUCCUUCAAGGUCAGAAGUCAAAUAUAUGUGGCCCAAAUUGCUUAUUUUAUGAAUACUUUUGCAAUAUUGAAGAUAGAAACUUGAUAUUUGGCAUGCAUGUGUAUCUCAUGGAGCUGCACAUUUUGAGUUGUGAAAGGUCAAGGUCAUCCUACACAAGGUCAAGGUCAAACGUCAUAUAGGGGGAUAUUGUGUUUCACAAACGCAUCUUGUAUUUGUCAUGUUAAAGCACUGACAUUUCAGUUUUUAGUGUCCUUAUUACAGAGCCUGACAAAGUAAACAUUGAAAACAGGAAAAUAAGUUGAUAGAACCCAUUUGACAUUUUAAACACAACACCAGCACGAGCAGAGAGGUAGAUUUAUAACAUUUCUUUCAAGAGAUGAAGAUGAUCAAAUUUGGUUAUUAAAAAGAAAAUUCUUGUUAGCCACUGUUCAUGAACAGUUCCUGGACACGUUUAUGCAUAGUUGUUGAACAAGUUCAAAAAUGACAUUUUGUUCUUGAAGGGUCAUUUAUUGUUCAUGGACGUUCUUGAACUGGUUUGUGAACUGUUCUUGAAAUCUUUCCCAGGGGAUUUUAAAAUAACUUGGGACUAAUGACCUUCAUGAGGAGACAGCAUUUAACCCAUUUAUGCCUAGCGUCUAGAAAAAUGCCUUGGCAAACAGCGUACCCAGAUGAGAUGCCGCAUAAUGCGGCGUCUCAUCAGGGCCUGCGCUCUUUGCUUAAAGGAAUUUCUGUAAGAAAUAUUCUAAAUGUAGAAAUAAAUAUACUAGGCAUCCCUAAUUUUGGAAAUAAACUGAUCCAAUUUAGAAGGAUGGGAGAGUCUACUCAGCAUAAAUGGGUUAAUAUAUGAAACCUGUCUCACAGGCUCAGAGAUCAAAGUAACACUUAGAGAUUUAAGAAUUGUCUCAGAUUAGUCUGUGAUUUCUGCAAAGGUUUGCGGACUUCAGAAGGUAAUCUGUCAAAUAUUUAAUGCACAUGCAUUAAGCCUAAUGUUUUACUCAAGGCUUUGUUAUUUAACGCCCACCAGGAAAUAAUUAAGACACGCUAUUUUUAGUAUGCUUAAUUGAUUGGGAAUGUUGAGAUGCCAAAUGGAGCCAUCAUUUACAUCCCUGUUUCACAAUAUAUUCAGAUGCCUCUCAAAAAUAUUUUCACAAAAGUCUAAAUGAUAGAGCCCAUGUAUGCAAUUAAGAAUCAAGCAAGCCUGUGGUGGGCUUCACUGUUUGUGAUCAUUGUGAACACUGCAGCAUUGUUAUAAACCUUUAGCUGACCCCAAUGUCUUGGUGCCCACCACAAACUUAGGGACCAUGGGGUUGUGGAAUCACUUCCUGGCCAGAUGCUAAGGUUCUCAAGAAUGUUUCAUUGAAACUGUUUUGUUUUCUUAUAACAUUUAUCUAAGUUAUGAUUGUUUUGCAACAUCUGGGAAGUAAUUGCUUUAUGACACUAUGUUACAACACUUCUUCUUUAGUCACAUGUGUGAUAUAUCUAAUUUAUGCAGAUCAUACAAUAGAACAGUGUCAUUCAAUAUUUAAUGUUUUCUAGCAAAAAACAAAAGACAUUAUAUGCACAUGGAGAAAACCCUUGUUAUUAAAGACUAAAAAACAA